rnacentral:rRNA from 1 species
AGUGAACGCUGGCGGUAGGCCUAACACAUGCAAGUCGAACGGCAGCACAGUAAGAGCUUGCUCUUACGGGUGGCGAGUGGCGGACGGGUGAGGAAUAAAUCGGAAUCUACUUUUUCGUGGGGGAUAACGUAGGGAAACUUACGCUAAUACCGCAUACGACAUACGGGUGAAAGCAGGGGAUCUUCGGACCUUGCGCGAUUGAAUGAGCCGAUGUCGGAUUAGCUAGUUGGCGGGGUAAAGGCCCACCAAGGCGACGAUCCGUAGCUGGUCUGAGAGGAUGAUCAGCCACACUGGAACUGAGACACGGUCCAGACUCCUACGGGAGGCAGCAGUGGGGAAUUUUGGACAAUGGGCGCAAGCCUGAUCCAGCCAUGCCGCGUGGGUGAAGAAGGCCUUCGGGUUGUAAAGCCCUUUUGUUGGGAAAGAAAAGCAGCAGGUUAAUACCCCGCUGUUCUGACGGUACCCAAAGAAUAAGCACCGGCUAACUUCGUG